CACAUGGCACUGACGGGGCUAGCUAUCGCUUUGUCAGCUUAGCAACAUCAGACAACCAGAGUCUUCCACAAGGUUGCAGCCACCUUAUUAAUUCAUUGAUCAAUGCAUUAAUUAAUUAAAGCUACUAAGUCUCUUUCAAAAAAGAGAGAGAGAGACAAACAGGUUCUGAAUAUAGACUUACAGAU